AUUAACAGGACGCUGUUUGCCUCAAAGGUAAUCCAUGGCGGGGAUUGCAAUUUGAAAGUCCCUUUCAAUGCGCAAAUAACUCCGGAUGAGCUUCCCACAGAUGUUAAGAGUUUAUUUGACUGAUGAAGUUGGAAACAUAGGAAAGGUUGCUACUCUUCUUAUGAUCAAGAGGAACACGGGUCAAAACUCUCGGUGGUUCCCUUAUAUCAGCCGACUUCCCCAGCUUGCAGAGAUGCACAGCGCGAUCUUCUGGGAUGAAAAUGAGUUCAGCAUGAUUCGUUGUAGCGCAGUUCACAAGGAAACUGUAAAACAAAAAGCUCGGAUAGAAAAGGAAUUCUCACUUGUAUCACAAUUAAACAGUGGGAUCUCGUGCGUGGGAAACCUCAAAAGGCAUAUCACUGGUACUUUCUUCAGUAUGGUCCUGCGUUUUGGGCUUUCUGCAUCAAUCGUUUUGAGCGAUGAAGACAACCAACUAUCAGAGAUCGUGACUACAGUCCUGGUGACGAGGUCCUCAUUAGGUAUGGAUAAUUCUCAAAUGCUACACUCAUGUUGGAUUUUGGAUUUACACUUCCUUACAACACUCAUGACGAGGUUCAAAUCCAAAUGGACGUACCCAGUGAUUACCCUCUCCGCAACAUGAAACUGGAACUUCUCCAGAGUCAUUACACACCAAGUGUCAAUAUCUUUCACUCUUCUUAUGAUACUUUCACAAUCAAGUAGAUAUUAAUGUUUAGCUUUAGCUUUACUUUCAUUAUACUAGUUUUGGUUCUCUCUCUCUCAGGGAAGUGAAAGGCAAAGGAAUUCCUCAGUCUCCCCGAUCAUUUGCACGUCUUCUUUGUUGUACCUCUCCUCAAGAAGCUGAACAAAAUGAUGGCCGGCUAGCUCGGCUUCCCUUUAAAGACAGGAGCAAAGAGUUGGAGGCACAUACCAUCAUCUUGUCUCAUAUCAACAGAUUAAUUGAAGAUCAUAAUGUUUGCAUCAAGGAGCUAGAAGCAUCUGAUUACGGUUUUGAAUCACAAAAGGUUUACGGGUUAGAAGGCAGAUGGCAAGAGAUCUCCUCUUCGUGAGCUUCCUGUUCUGAAAUCUGCAGC